GACAGAGGGGGCAAGCGUUGCUCGGAAUCACUGGGCGUAAAGGGCGCGUAGGCGGGAUGGCAAGUCGGUCGUGAAAUCCCUUGGCUCAACUGAGGGGAGUCGGCCGAUACUGCCGUUCUUGAGGGAUGCAGAGGAGACUGGAAUUCCCGGUGUAGCGGUGAAAUGCGUAGAGAUCGGGAGGAACACCGGUGGCGAAGGCGGGUCUCUGGGCAUCUCCUGACGCUGAGGCGCGAAAGCGUGGGGAGCAAACGGG
rnacentral:rRNA from 1 species